AAGCUCUUCACUCUUCUUUCAGGGCGUACAGCACAUCGCCCUGGCUGACGUUGAGCCGCACGCGAAGGAGCAGGUCAUUCCUGCUGGGCUCCACAAGGAGGAGGCGGCAGGAGCCCAGAAUUCAAAUUUAAGACACUCAAAACAAAAGUCACUUCUCCAGUAACUCAAGGGAGAAGCAUGAGCACCAGCUUAUAUUCUUCCCUUCCUCUAACCUCCCACAUCCAGCAGAGCACCCAGCAAGGACCUUACACCAACAGGUGCUCAGCAAAGAAUUGCCACGUUUUGUAGGUACAGCUAGGCCUCCCGACGGUGACUUACCUUCCUGGCAACCAGCUGGAUGGCAUCAUCCUCAAAGGCCUUUAAGUGUUUGAGUCGGGACAUUAGGAUCUGCUGCAGCUGCCUGACUCCUUAGCACAGCUUCUGGAUCUGUAAGAACAACUUGAGAACGGCCCCAAAACCUACCAGUCGGCUUGACACCCGGUUCAUCAUGAUGCGCUCGGGCAGGUCCAUCGUGUUGGCAAUGGUCAGGACCACA